rnacentral:lncRNA from 1 species
UUUGACUAUUAAAGCAAUAUCUGGCUCUGGUGAGCACUCACUUCUUUUUUUUAAAUUUUUUUUAUACUUUAAGUUGUAGGGUACAUGUGCACAAUGUGCAAGUUUGUUACAUAUGUAUACAUGUGCCAUGCUGGUUUGCUGUACUCAUUAAUUCAUCAUUUACAUUAGGUAUUUCUCCUAAUGCUAUCCCUCCCCCAUCACCCCAACCCACGACAGGCCCUGGUGUGUGAUGUUCCCCGCCCUGUGUCCAAGUGUUCUCAUUGUUCAAUUCCCACCUAUGAGUGAGAAUGUGUGGUGUUUGGUUUU